CCACGGGCGGCUGCAGUGGGGAAUAUUGGACAAUGGGGGGAACCCUGAUCCAGCCAUGCCGCGUGUGUGAAGAAGGCCCUCGGGUUGUAAAGCACUUUCAGUGAGGAAGAACGCCUGGUGGUUAAUACCCAUCAGGAAAGACAUCACUCACAGAAGAAGCACCGGCUAACUCCGUGCCAGCAGCCGCGGUAAUACGGAGGGUGCGAGCGUUAAUCGGAAUUACUGGGCGUAAAGCGCGCGUAGGUGGCUUGAUAAGCCGGUUGUGAAAGCCCCGGGCUCAACCUGGGAACGGCAUCCGGAACUGUCAAGCUAGAGUGCAGGAGAGGAAGGUAGAAUUCCCGGUGUAGCGGGGAAAUGCGUAGAGAUCGGGAGGAAUACCAGUGGCGAAGGCGGCCUUCUGGACUGACACUGACACUGAGGUGCGAAAGCGUGGGUAGCAAACAGGAUUAGAUACCCCAGUAGUC
rnacentral:rRNA from 1 species